AUGGGGCACCCUGUGGCGGGGCUGCUUUGAGUACUCCUGGUCGGCGCCCUUUAGGCGAGCACCUUCUAGCAGAGCGCCUCGGCGCUAUCUCUGGUCGGCACUUUCUAACCGAGCAGCUUAUUUUGGUUGGGCACCUCUUGGCGCGCACUCUGGUCGGCGCCCUCUAGUCGAGUGCCUUUCUGGUCGGCAUUCCUUGGCCGAGCAGCUUUCCGAUCGGCGUACUUCGGCCGAGCGCCUCCGUGGAUGUAUGACUUGGGGUUUUUCCCCCAACACAUGGAUUAACAGCUUCGAACUCCAUGGAUUAUCACCCACUCCACGCGUACGGCUCCCUCUUCUUCAUCUUCUCCGUGAUCCCCUGCUUCCGUGAAUUCCUCCCAGCUUCAGCCGUUCAUCCCGUGCACACGUUCCCUCCCUUCACGGACAGCUCCCAUGCAUUUCCGAAUCCCCUGCAUCCUUAUCCCUUUUCAUCCGCGAUUCAUCUUCAUCUCUCCUGCUUCCGGAUCAUCUUCUCUCAGCCGUGAGCAUCCACGCCCUCCUCUGCAUCCUUAUCUUUGAUUCGAAAGAGGGGAGGAAAGAGAAGUGGGCAGCUAUAAAAGGGAGUUGAUCGCAUGAAGGCUGGAGGCAUUCUUCCUUCUUCACCACCGGGGUUGAUCCCAUCAAGUUCUUCUCAGGAGAAGCCGAGUCCCACAGAGUGCAUGAGUGAGAGAGUAGUUUGGGUAUUUUGGGAAUGAUUUCCUAAAGAAAAAAUAAUGAAGUCCCAGAUGGAGAGGAAGCCGACGGAAGAAAGGAGGGAGAACCCC
rnacentral:lncRNA from 1 species